rnacentral:rRNA from 1 species
UGUUGUUUUCUCGAAAAUCAAUUAAAAAAGGCAGGAUUUUGUGUUGUAUUGACUUUAUCAGCUUUCUGCACUCUUUUCUUGUCUUUUUUAAUGCACUUUUCGUUUAACAAGUCAACAUCAAUUUCUUUUGUUGUAAAAGGGUCAUUGGAAGGUGGCUUUCUUUUCGGAGAAAGUGUUUACAGCCUUUGGCCUCUGCAAUCGGAGAGAUUGAGGUCUGCAGCGUAGAUCCUUCGGGGUUAGAUACAUUUGUGCUAAGUUAUAGCCUUUCAUAGACAACUUGUUGACUAUGAUCAGUCAUGUAGCUUACUCGCUUAUGCUAUUUUACCUAC